rnacentral:rRNA from 1 species
AGUCCUACGGGAGGCAGCAGUGGGGGAUAUUGCACAAUGGGCGAAAGCCUGAUGCAGCGACGCCGCGUGAGGGAAGACGGUCUUCGGAUUGUAAACCUCUGUCUUUGGGGAAGAAAAUGACGGUACCCAAAGAGGAAGCUCUGGCUAACUACGUGCCAGCAGCCGCGGUAAUACGUAGGGAGCAGGCGUUGUCCGGAAUUACUGGGUGUAAAGGGAGUGUAGGCGGGAUGGCAAGUAGAAUGUUAAAUCCAUCGGCUCCACCGGUGGCUGCGUUCUAAACUGCCGUUCUGGAGUGAAG